rnacentral:rRNA from 1 species
AUUGAACGCUGGCGGCACGCCUUACACAUGCAAGUCGAACGGUAACGCGGGGCAACCUGGCGACGAGUCGCGAACGGGUGAGUAAUGUAUCGGAACGUGCCCAGGCGUGGGGGAUAACUGCCCGAAAGAGCAGCUAAUACCGCAUACGACCCGAGGGUGAAAGCGGGGGAGCGCAAGACCUCGCGCAAUUGGAGCGGCCGAUAUCAGAUUAGGUGGUUGGUGGGGUAAAGGGCCACCAAGCCAACGAUCUGUAGCUGGUCUGAGAGGACGACCAGCCACACUGGGACUGAGACACGGCCCAGACUCCUACGGGAGGCAGCAGUGGGGAAUUUUGGACAAUGGACGCAAGUCUGAUCCAGCCAUGCCGCGUGCGGGAAGAAGGCCUUCGGGUUGUAGACCGCUUUUGUCAGGGAAGAAACGCUCUGGGUUAAUACCUCGGGGUAAUGACGGUACCUGAAGAAUAAGCACCGGCUAACUACGUGCCAGCAGCCGCCGUAAGAC